rnacentral:lncRNA from 10 species
CAGAAUUUAGAUGGGCAGAAGCAUUUUAGGAGAUUUUCAGAUUGAGAAAUGGAGGCAUCGAGGUCAAAUCUUUUACCUAAACCACUGAGCAGCAGAGACAGCUUCCUAUCCCAUGUUUCAGUGCUGGAGCAGACCCGUGUGUGUUUGGGAGCAGGGGUAGCUGGAGCUCUUGGAGGCCUCGCAGAGAGAUGGCCUUGCCCAUGAUGAAGUCCUCUGGUGACUCUGCAGGACUGGCUUCGGUCUUCAAAUUGGAUAUUUCCACUGGCACAUAACUAAGCCUCAGUCAAUGGAACUAUACAUCCAUAAGUCUCAGAAAGCAGAAGGAUGGCUUCCUAAAUGAUUUUUCCUUAUGCUAUAUGUGCCAAUAGAUAUCACUAAUACAAUCAGUACAAA